rnacentral:rRNA from 1 species
GUCUGUAAGAAUGAUCACAAUUACUCUACGUCAAGAACCAUUCACGUCCACCUGUUUAAGUCCGGUUUCAUGCCCCACUAUAAUGUUUGGACCAAGCACGGAGAAAGAGGGGUUAUGAUGGAAGACAAUGAAGAAGAAGAGGACAACGACAGCUAUCCUGGCCAUGGGUUCCCUGAAUACGAUGAUUCAACAAUGAGGGAAGAAGCUGAGCUGGCAAUGCGGGAAGAAGCUGAAAAAGAGGCAUCAGAUGAGCCCGCUGAUGAUUUAGGUUGGGCCAUUGCUGAUGUAAAGAGAAACUGCGCAAGUGAUUUGGAGAAGAAGAAGUUGCAGCACAUGUUAGAGGAUCACAAGAAAUUGUUGUACCCGAAUUGCGAAGCUGACAAGAAAAAGUUGGGCACCACACUGGAAUUGCUGCAAUGGAAGGCAGAGAAUGGUGUAUCUGACAAGGGAUUUGGAAAGUUGCUGGUAAUGAUAAAGAAUAUGAUUCCAAAGGACAACGAAUUGCCCGAGAGUACGUACGAAGCAAAGAAGGCUGUCUGC